rnacentral:misc_RNA from 1 species
ACCGACGAUGGUGAUUACAACGUCAAGCUGCGCAACCUCAUCCGCUUCCUCGAGGACGGCGAUAAGACGAAGAUCACGUUGCGUUUCCGCGGGCGCGAAAUGGCGCACCAGGAAAUCGGCAUGCGCAUGCUCGAGCGUCUGCGCGGCGAUCUGGACGAGGUUGGCCAAGUCGAGCAGAUGCCGAAGAUGGAAGGGCGCCAGAUGAUCAUGGUGCUCGCGCCGAAAAAGAAGAAGUGAUUGCGGCGUCGUGUGCGAGCGGCUGGCCGGCCGUUGGCGGAAGCGGGCACGCAGGUGCCGG